rnacentral:rRNA from 1 species
UACGGAGGAUGCAAGCGUUAUCCGGAUUUAUUGGGUUUAAAGGGUGCGCAGGUUGUUUGAUAAGUCAGUGGUGAAAGUCUGUCGCUUAACGGUAGGAUUGCCAUUGAUACUGUUGGACUUGAAUAUGGAUGAGGUAGGCGGAAUGUGUAGUGUAGCGGUGAAAUGCAUAGAUAUUACACAGAACACCGAUUGCGAAGGCAGCUCACUAAUCCAUCAUUGACGCUGAGGCACGAAAGCGUGGGGAUCAAACA